UUAUCAAAAACAUAGCCUUUAGCUUAACAAGUAUUAAAGGUCCCGCCUGCCCAGUGACCCCUUCAACGGCCGCGGUAUCCUAACCGUGCAAAGGUAGCAUAAUCACUUGUCCUCUAAAUAAGGACUAGAAUGAACGGCUAAAUGAGGACUAAACUGUCUCUUGUAGUUGACCAAUGAAACUGAUCUUACAGUCCAAAAGCUGUAAUAAACACACAAGACGAGAAGACCCUGUGGAGCUUUAAAACCAAGCCUCAAUCAUUUUGUUGUCCUUGGUUUUUAGUUGGGGCGACUUCGGAGUACAAAAAAACCCCCGAUAUGGAACCUCCCACAUCAAGGUUAACACACCAAAAUUAAUCUUGACCCAGUAAUACUUAUAUUAUCUGAUCAACGAACCAAGUUACCCCAGGGAUAACAGCGCCAUCCCCUUCUAGAGUCCCUAUCGACAAGGGGGUUUACGACCUCGAUGUUGGAUCAGGACACCCAAAUAGUGCAGCCGCUAUUAAAGGUUCGUUUGUUCAACGAUUAAUAGUCCUACGUGAUCUGA
rnacentral:rRNA from 1 species